ensembl:snRNA U6 U6 spliceosomal RNA
GUGCUCUAGUCGGCAGCACGUAUAUGAAAAUUGGAAAUAUAGAGAGAUUAACAUGGCUUCUGUGCAAGGACGACAUGCAAAUUCAGCUAGGGCCAAUUUGUAUUU